rnacentral:lncRNA from 1 species
ACUCAGCUGUUAAACACUACACUGGAAAUGAAGUUUUGAAGUGGGUGCACGUUGACCAGGAGAAAGUGUGCAUUAACUUGAGGGGAAAGGGUCCAGUGAAUUCCAAGAACAGCAGGAGGAGUCUAAAAAGAAGUCGUGUCCUGCUGACGUAUUAAGAAUUUACAGAUGCACUGGGAUGGUGGCUGUAGGGAAGUCGUGAAGUAGACCACAUUGGUUCAUGGGACUGUCUACUGCCCUGAGGACAAGUGCCCAAUAAAGGCUACUGACAGGCUGACUGCAGCUGGAGAGGGUCACCAAGAUGACUCAGAGGGCACUCUACAGAGUCCUACUGCCCGCACAGGGUCAUUUUGCUGCAGAGUUCAAGAAGACACAGCUGUUGGAUCUGAUGACUGCCUUCACACAGCAGGGACUGUCACUUCAGCUCAGAUACUAUUACUUCUUAAGCCUUCGUCUGGAGGAAUCCAUCAAUGUCCUUUUUCAAACUCUAAAAACACUCUCCAAAGAAGAAAGGUAAUUUUCUUUUAUCUGAAUUCUUGUGGAAUUUUACUUCGACUUUUUCUGUAUUUUUAAGAGCCCUCGAGAUGCCCAUAUAACUAGUUGAGUUGAGUUUAAA